CCGAGUAGGAAGGUCAGCUGCAUGUUUUCUUUGACUCUCUGGGACAGUAGACUUUCACCCCAAGAUCAGGUUCCUGAGCCCAUUUGGGAUUUUUGCUUAAAAACAACAAUACCCCCGGGAGCCUUCAAUGGACACAGGUGAAGCAAAGGCUAACACAUCUGUCCCAGGAAACUCUUCGUUAGAGACAGAGAUAGGCUCUCUUCAUCUCUGAGUAUCCGGAUGGAUGUUCCGUACACACCAGCAUUUUCACUCCUGUUCUGAGGGUUGGCGGGAGGCAGGCACCUUGCCAGUCUUCACUACAGGUUUACGAUUCCCGUAUGACAUAUUGAGAUGAUGCAAUUAUGAAAACAGCACAAACGGCUGCCGGGGCUGAAGAAGGAACGAGAGGAGAAGCAGGACGCGGUCUGGACAAUGCACUACUCAGCCAGAACACUGAAGAACAUGCCAGCAGGCAGCACGUGCUGCAGAGCCCCGACAGCACCCUAACGAUGGGGCACCAACCCUCUGGAAGAGAUGUCCUUCCUGAGAGACGAGCCCACGCCUGUGACACACUGGUAAAACCCACAGUUAUUUCCAAGUGGGCUUUGCAUACUGAGUCUCCCCAGGGCGCUCUCGGGCCCUGUCUGAGUGAGGCCUGAGCCUCCCCAUAGUGCAAGGCUGAGCACAUUCUCCAGCUGCAGCUAGCGGGACAUGAGGUCUCAAGAGAAACCAGAGAAGGCGCCAGGCAAGCGGGAGGGUGGACGGAGAACUGUAUUCAGGUCCCUGUCCUACCUCAGAGGGUCAGCCGCUCACGCUUUA